rnacentral:rRNA from 1 species
UACGGGAGGCAGCAGUGGGGAAUAUUGCACAAUGGGCGCAAGCCUGAUGCAGCCAUGCCGCGUGUAUGAAGAAGGCCUUCGGGUUGUAAAGUACUUUCAGUCGUGAGGAAGGUGUUAAGGUUAAUAACCUUAGCAAUUGACGUUAGCGACAGAAGAAGCACCGGCUAACUCCGUGCCAGCAGCCGCGGUAAUACGGAGGGUGCGAGCGUUAAUCGGAAUUACUGGGCGUAAAGGGCACGCAGGCGGUUAAUUAAGUUGGAUGUGAAAUCCCCGGGCUUAACCUGGGAAUGGCAUUCAAGACUGGUUAGCUAGAGUCUUGUAGAGGGGGUAGAAUUCCAUGUGUAGCGGUGAAAUGCGUAGAGAUGUGGAGGAAUAUCGGUGGCGAAGGCGGCCCCUGGGACAAAGACUGACGCUCAUGUGCGAAAGCGUGGGGAGCAAACAGGAUUAGGAUACC